rfam:Schistosoma curassoni strain Dakar, Senegal genome assembly, scaffold: SCTD_scaffold0011805
AUCCAGCUGACGAGUCCCAAAUAGGAUGAGACUCGUGUCUUGGAU